rnacentral:rRNA from 1 species
AAAUGAAUAGACGGGGGCCCGCACAAGCGGAGGAGCAUGUGGUUUAAUUCGAUGAUACGCGAGGAACCUUACCUGGGCUCGAACGUAUGGGGAAUUAUGCCGAAAGGUAUGAGCCAGCAAUGGCCGCAUACGAGGUGCUGCAUGGUUGUCGUCAGCUCGUGUCGUGAGAUGUUAGGUUAAGUCCUGCAACGAGCGCAACCCUUAUCUUUAGUUGCCAGCAUGUAAUGAUGGGGACUCUAAAGAAACUGCCUACGCAAGUAGUGAGGAAGGUGGGGAUGACGUCAAAUCAGCACGGCCCUUAUGUCCAGGGCGACACACGUGCUACAAUGGCCGAUACAAAGGGCAGCUACCGGGUGACCGGAUGCGAAUCUUUAAAGUCGGUCUCAGUUCGGAUCGGAGUCUGCAACUCGACUCCGUGAAGUCGGAUUCGCUAGUAAUCGCGCAUCAGCCACGGCGCGGUGAAUACGUUCCCGGGCCUUGUACACACCGCCCGU